ensembl:lncRNA
CAGGAGGAACGUGAUGAGUGUCAGUGGAUUUCUAAGAGGACUUGUACAGAUCUUAAGUCACUACUGUUUCAUACUAUUUUCCGCAUGUCUGGUGAUAUCUGUGAGGCAGUGUGUGCUUGUGUGUCUGUGUGUGUGUGUGUGUGUGUGUGUGUGUGUGUGUGUGUGUGUGUGUGUGUGUAUGUGUGUGUGUGUGUGUGUGUGUGUUGUGUGUGUGUGUGUGUAUGGGGGAAGAUCUCCGGAACUCUAGGAUGUCAAUCUCUCAGGGUCAUGAAAGUCGUCUUGGAAUGUCUGUCAUUCCCCUCAAGAACCCUGGGACCCAGUCUGAGAAUUUCCUGUACCCAAAUGUGACUCCUGAGCUCCUGAGGUACCGGAUGGUGCCUUCCUCAAGGUCCUGGCUUCCCUCUGGCCUCUGGGACACGCUGAGGCUGCUGCCACUGAUACAGUGUUGGCUCAGAAGAGGAUUGUGUGAUUCUCUAUGAGUUCUGUGUUGGGGGAAAUUUUGGGUCUCUUUCUGCCAAGGAUUCUGUAGCAGUUUCUGUGGUGUUCUCCAUGGAGGUGUCUCGGUAGACGUUCCAGUUCUAUCAUGACCCAUGUGGUUGUCGAGAACUGUCAGGAAUUCUGGGGUAUUUCCCAGUGUAGAUUGUGUCAGAGCCCGGUAGUGACCUCUUUGGGAGUGUUAUCAGUGAACAUUACUGUGGAGGUCUCUGUGAGGUUCUCCAGGCCCACAUUAUGGUCCAUUAUGGUUGACGGGGAUAAGCUGGGCAGAAUGUGUUCUGCUGGUUGUGUGGUCUCUUAACACCACUGUCUCUAGCACUUGUACCCUCAGGUAUUGCUUGUAACCCCAAUCAAGAACCUCGCAGGCAGGCAUACAAAGGCUCAUAGUCAAGAGCACAGAUUCUGGGACUUGGGCAAGUGGCAAAAGUACACUGGUUUAUUAGAGGAACUGGGCAAACCCUUAUAAUCACGUCCCAGCGUUUCAUUGGCUCUCGGGCAGCUGGAUAUGACACUGUUUCCUCAGUGGAUCGCUCCAUCAUCUGAUCCAGCAUCAUCAGCCUCUACCUGUGCUGGCAGAUUCUAGGUUGGCUAAGGGAGGAAGUAUCAGAGGCACAUAUGCCAGCAUUGCAACUGGGCCUGCUUGGAUAAGUUCCUCCUCCACUCAAGAACCCUGGGAC